AAAAAUGGGAUUUAUGUUUGUUUUUUUAAAUAGAUGCAUAUAGAUUCUCAUGAAGCUCUGGGGGUAUUGAACACUUUAUUUGAAAUUCUGGCACCAUCAGCCCUCCGACCAGUGGACAUGCUUUUAAGGAGCAUGUUUGUGACUCCCAGUACAUUGGCCUCCGUGAGCACUGUGCAAUUAUGGAUAUCUGGCAUUCUUGCCAUUCUUCGGGUUUGAUUUCGCAGUCGACAGAAGACAUUGUUCUUUCUCGUAUUCAAGAGCUCUCCUUUUCACCAUAUUUAAUCUCGUGCAAAACAAUUAACAGACUACGAAACGGUGAAACCAUUCUUACCUCAACUCACGAACAAACUCUGGAAGAGCAAGAUAAAUAUCUGCCUGAAGAGACAUUUUCUAGGUUCUUGUUGCAGUUAGUGGGGAUCCUCCUGGAAGAUAUCACCACCAAACACUUGAACGUGGAUAUGAAUGAACAGCAGCACACAUUCUAUUGCCAAGAGUUGGGCACGUUGCUUAUGUGCUUUAAUUCAUACCUUCAAAUCAGGAAUGUUCAGAAGAAUCACAGCUGCAGCCACUAAGCUCUUUACAGGAGAUGAGUCAGAUGGUGAUUUCUACACCCUUAAAAGCUUGAAUGAUCUCGUUCAGUCCAUGAUACCUACACAUCCUUCUUUAGUCCUCCUGUGGUGUCAAAUCUUACUACUUGUUAAUUAUACUAACUGUAGCUGGUGGUCAGAAGUGCAUCAGACUCCAAAAAGGCACAGUCUUUCCACUACAAA